rnacentral:lncRNA from 1 species
UCUUAACUUUCUAAAGUUUCCGGUUGAUGACAGCCAGGUCUCGCGAGUAUCUGGCGGCUCAACAGUGAUCGCGCGCGAACAGUAACGUACAGCUAUACUGAGAUAAUCAGAAAACUGUUUUCGCGUCGGGUUGAUCUUCUUCGAGCUCGGUGUUUAAAACGAUGGACAUGUUGGACAUGUUAUUACAACAAACAGACUGUCGACAUUCCGAGAGAGAGGCAUAUUACAACUACCUCACUAACUUUCCUCCAAGACAAGAGUCAGGAUGCUACAGUGAGGUGAAUAUCUUGGUUCUAAGUGAGGUUACUACCAAAUCUGUCUCUAUGAAACUGCGGCGCAACACAGUCCUGAGAAGCCGAAGGCGUCAACAGCGAGAACAUGUGAAGGACCCUGAGAGCAUCUGUGUGGUGUUGAGUGACAAUGACUCUAGCCAGUCAGAGAGUGUGGAGGAAAUAAAAGACCAUGUGUCUGUUAUUCAUGAUAUGAAGCGGCCAGUAAGGAAGAGUAGAGCUGGUGCAUCAUGUCGAGCGAGAAAAGAAGACGAGAGACUUCUUUCUCUUGUGGAACCACAACAUGGAGUGGUUCAGAAGAUCUCCUUGGCUCCAGAUGCAAUGGCUGAGGACACUCUAGAGAAACUCAGGUUGAGGGCUAAUACUUCUGAGACUGAGGUUGAGUCUCGGGUAGAGCUUGAGUCUGUUUUGGAAGAAUCCAGUACCGAUCUCACAGUGGAAUCGGGUCCCAGCUCGCCCUCUUGUCCUGUUGAUACUGUAAGAUGCAGAGAAUGCCGGAGACUUUUCGCCAAGAUGAGAAAACAGCCGACCCCAAAACAGAAAAGCAGAGAUACAAAUCCAGCAUCUUUAUCUUGUGAUGUGUGGGUUCUGCUUAAGAAGUGGCACCCUCAGAGACUCCGCCAUCGGGAGAAGGGAUUAUUGUGGACAAGCCUGAGUCGUAUCAGGAAGCUGUUAGCAGGAGGCUCUGAUUCUGCAGUCGUCAACAGAAUUCAAGCAAACUGCUCCAGACCUCAUGUGUUUCAGCAGAGGAAUUUGCGUCGCUGCAAGGAUCUGCUCUCCGUUCAGACCAACCUGUCCAUUACCAAAGCCAAACCACGGCAUCGUAAGAGGUCACGAUCUGUGGUCUGGCCGCCCGUUGCUGGCUGGCAAUUUUCUGUGAAAAGGAAGCCUUCCUUGAACAGCACAUUAUCUCAGCAGCUUUAUCCACUCGACCUUAGUGUCCGUGUGAAGCAGAAGGACAAACUUCUUGUAGAUGACAAGAUUUCAAGAUUAAAUGCAGAUUUGAAGCAGAACUCGAAUGUCUCUAGCAAACAGAGGACGACUAAUGUCCGGGGUAAAUCGAACAAGCAGGAAGUGUCUGAUGGCAUAGAUGGAACACGGCGGGUGCUGAAGUUUGAUGACACCCCUGAAACUGUUGCUGUGGAAACUACGGAACAGAGGAAAAGCCCUCGGCAGAAGCACAAGCGUGGAGAGAUUCGAGAAGCUCAGAAUGGUUUCCAGAAUGAGCAGCAGGAAGAGAUUUCUGAGGAUUCGGAUGGGUUCAGGACGCCCACAGAUCUGUUCAGCGUGAAGCCCGAGAUUAAACGAGGGAACCAGAAGAAAGUCUCUGCCUCUGGUAAACCUGCCGUACAGAAGCCCAACUUCAUGUCCAUGUUAGCCACACUGGUGAAGAAUCAGAACCAGAUUAUUAAGGAAUCCUGCAAAUGAGUCUUUAUUGAAGUUUUGUAAUUCUGGUAGUCGUUCAAGUUUUGCUAAUUCUGUUUAUUUCAGAGUUUAUCUCUGUUAAUUCUGAGAUCUCAUCUCUGACAAAAGUCUGCUGAUGUGUAUUUAUUGUUCAUAUGUUUGUGUUCUAACAUUAGUAUUUGCAUGAGUAAAUAAGUCUUGCAUUAAAUUAUCUGUUUGUGUAUGCUGUUAACUCCACAGUGGCUUGAACGGCAGUUACUGUAAUAACCACCGAGCGGAGCUGUUUCCAAACAAACUUGCAUAUCUUCACUCGCUAUAUUCAGUCUUUAGUUUCUUAAACCAUUUUUAAUUAUUACAAUAUAUGACUUUAAAAAAAAUAGGCUUUAUCACAUUAACUUAACAUGAUGUUUUGACAUCUAUGAGUCUGUACAUAAUCCAUGACUUCCUGUUUUUCAGUAGAUCAGGGACAUUUUUUUUUAUCACACACUAGAUUUAAAAAGUCAG